AAAAAGGUAAGCUAAAUAAAGCUAAUGGGUUCAUACCCCGUAAAUAGGAAGUGCCUCCUUUUUA
rnacentral:tRNA from 1 species